AAAUAGAUAAGCUAAAUUAUUUAAGCUAUUGGGCUCAUAACCCAACAAUGGAAUUUUACCUCUAUUUA
rnacentral:tRNA from 1 species